rnacentral:tRNA from 3 species
GCGCGGGUGGCGGAAUUGGUAGACGCGCUAGCUUGAGGUGCUAGUGCCCUAAUAAUGGGCGUGGGGGUUCAAGUCCCCCUCCGCGCA